AGUGAACGCUGGCGGUAGGCCUAACACAUGCAAGUCGAACGGCAGCACAGUAAGAGCUUGCUCUUACGGGUGGCGAGUGGCGGACGGGUGAGGAAUACAUCGGAAUCUACUUUUUCGUGGGGGAUAACGUAGGGAAACUUACGCUAAUACCGCAUACGACCUACGGGUGAAAGCAGGGGAUCUUCGGACCUUGCGCGAUUGAAUGAGCCGAUGUCGGAUUAGCUAGUUGGCGGGGUAAAGGCCCACCAAGGCGACGAUCCGUAGCUGGUCUGAGAGGAUGGUCAGCCACACUGGAACUGAGCCACGGUCCAGGCUCCUACGGGAGGCAGCAGUGGGGAAUAUUGGACAAUGGGCGCAAGCCUGAUCCAGCCAUACCGCGUGUGUGAAGAAGGCCUUCGGGUUGUAAAGCCCUUUUGUUGGGAAAGAAAAGCAGCAGGUUAAUACCCCGCUGUUCUGACGGUACCCAAAGAAUAAGCACCGGCUAACUUCGUG
rnacentral:rRNA from 1 species